rnacentral:rRNA from 4 species
ACACGACUCUCGGCAACGGAUAUCUCGGCUCUCGCAUCGAUGAAGAACGUAGCGAAAUGCGAUACCUGGUGUGAAUUGCAGAAUCCCGCGAACCAUCGAGUCUUUGAACGCAAGUUGCGCCCGAGGCCAUUCGGCCGAGGGCACGCCUGCCUGGGCGUCACG